GCCGUUGUAGCUUAGUGGUAAAGCACGAUAUUGGUAAUAUCGAGACCGUGGGUCCGAUCCCCACCAACGGCUCCA
rnacentral:tRNA from 1 species